rnacentral:rRNA from 1 species
AGUGGCGGACGGGUGAGUAACGCGUGGGUAACCUGCCUCAUACAGGGGGAUAACAGUUAGAAAUGACUGCUAAUACCGCAUAAGACCACAGCACCGCAUGGUGCAGGGGUAAAAACUCCGGUGGUAUGAGAUGGACCCGCGUCUGAUUAGGUAGUUGGUGGGGUAACGGCCUACCAAGCCGACGAUCAGUAGCCGACCUGAGAGGGUGACCGGCCACAUUGGGACUGAGACACGGCCCCAA